UUUCACAGUAGAACAGAAAAGUGGAAAACCUUUCUUUCUUGUUGCUGAAAAAAAAAGACUUAAGGAGAGUUGACGGCUACGACCAGUUUGAGAAGAAGUGGGGUGGAAGUGGAAGAGGAAGAGGAGGAAGAAGGUGGUUUUCGGAUACACUGUUAAUACACGGCAGUGCGUUAAUUCGACGCCAUCUUUCGAAAAACCGCAGCAAAAUUUUGUGUUUAAAUACUCUUCUGCUUCUCCAACAAUGGAGAACACACACACAACACUUUCAUAAAGAAAGUGAAAGAGAGAAGAGCACGAAUUCUUCUCUUUGAUAUCACAAAGGUAUUAUUUAGAAGAUUUUGAAAAUUCAGAAAAUUUCCACUCUAAUCUCUCUUUCUUUUUGUUCUAAAAUUCUAAAAAUUCAGAAGAUUUUCAGGCAUUAUGAUGCUAUUUGCUUAGUUUUAUUAUCAAAAUUUUCAAUUUCUCUACUUUCUUUGCUUCCAAUCUAUUAUUUAUUAAAAUAUUUGCCAUAUAAGUUAUUAGUAAUACUGUUUUAAAUCUGGUUAUCAUAAGCUGUAAUUAGAGGUAUUAUUAUAAAAAAUAAAUAAACUAAUGUUGAAUUUGAUUUUGAUACUUGACUUUAUUUAUCUAAUGGACUAAUGGUUGUUUUUGUAGUUUCAGAAUCUUCUGUGAAUAUUCAUCA
rnacentral:lncRNA from 1 species